UUCAUGCAGUCGAGCGCAGGAGCAGUUGAUCCCCUUCGGGGGUGACGCUUGUGGAAUGAGCGGCGGACGGGUGAGUAACACGUGGGCAACCUGCCUGUAAGACUGGGAUAACCCCGGGAAACCGGGGCUAAUACCGGAUAAUACUUUCUUUUGCAUAAAGGAAAGUUGAAAGGCGGCUUCGGCUGUCACUUACAGAUGGGCCCGCGGCGCAUUAGCUAGUUGGUGAGGUAACGGCUCACCAAGGCGACGAUGCGUAGCCGACCUGAGAGGGUGAUCGGCCACACUGGGACUGAGACACGGCCCAGACUCCUACGGGAGGCAGCAGUAGGGAAUCUUCCGCAAUGGACGAAAGUCUGACGGAGCAACGCCGCGUGAGUGAUGAAGGUUUUCGGAUCGUAAAACUCUGUUGUUAGGGAAGAACAAGUUGGGUAGUAACUGACCCAACCUUGACGGUACCUAACCAGAAAGCCACGGCUAACUACGUGCCAGCAGCCGCGGUAAUACGUAGGUGGCAAGCGUUGUCCGGAAUUAUUGGGCGUAAAGCGCUCGCAGGCGGUCCUUUAAGUCUGAUGUGAAAUCUCGCGGCUCAACCGCGAACGGUCAUUGGAAACUGGAGGACUUGAGUACAGAAGAGGAGAGUGGAAUUCCACGUGUAGCGGUGAAAUGCGUAGAGAUGUGGAGGAACACCAGU
rnacentral:rRNA from 1 species